GCUUACUCAAGUUCCACCAUGUUGCAUGCAAACGCUUUAUUUUUGCUUCACGUGUGAGGAUUGAUUUUUGUCACUGUAUUAAAAUUUACCCCUCAAAUUCUUGGUUCUGGACUCGUGCAACAAAAAGAAGGAAAAGUUGUCUAUCAUUUACUUCAAAAGAGCCUGUGUUUUGCUGUUCAUAUUCAGAAUCUCUGCCCUCUCAAUUCCAGCCUCCAAUACGGAUGCCAAGGUAAUUUAUUUUGCAUCACUGUAUUAUAAUAUUGAGGACAGAUGCUUUGGCCCCUUGCCUCAACUCUGCAGACAGUUCACCUUAUUUAUAUGAGUACUUCCUAUAAAUCCCAGAAGUCUCAAAGGUAUGGUGAAUACACAUAAUACUGUUGGAUCAGGGCCCUCAUCUUAACUCCUUAUGCUCACUGGAUGCAUUUUUUUUCCUUUUGCUGCCCGACUCCUUGUUUGUUAAUCAUCUUUCCAGAUGAUUACUCCAGCUUUCCAAGUUCAUCUUGGUGUGGGGCCACAUAUACACCUACCAGCCCACAGAUGAGCUGGAAGCAUCUCCAGGGAUCCUGGAUUCACUGUGCGCAAGAUAUAACCCCUGGCUCUUGCUAGCAUUGAGGAUGAUUUUCUUGGCAGCACAAGCAUACUGCUAGAAUACCUGCCAUAUGUCUUUGACUUGGGAUCUGGGAAGCUUUAGGGAGUUUCUGAAUACAAUUCAAAGGACUCAAAGUCUGCUUGUUUAGCAUCUGAAUAUAAUCAAGCAACUACACUUCUCAUUCAAUUUGCAACCUCACCUAAAACACUGAGUAAGUUUCCUAUCUAGUUUACUUGUCUUCUGGGCAGUGUUUUGUACUCAGAUAGCAGCUGUCUCAUGAUAAGAACCUUAACUGAUUUCCACACUCUAUUGAAAGAAUCUCUACAGUACACCUAGAUACAAUACAAGGCACAAAAAAAUAGAAAAUAUCUCAAAAUGAAGACUAGCUUUCUGACUAAUUUAUUAGUCAAAAUCUAGAAACUCAAAUCCUAAAUUUUACCUUCAGACCUGGCAUUUUAUCUCGCCAUGACAGAGUUGUCUAAUACAGUUAAUUUGUUUUUACCUUUUGGGCAGGAAAUGCUGUCAAGGAAUUAUCAUACAAGUAGAAAGACAUGUCAUGCUAGACAACGUAAACUCACCUAAACAAAUAAUUGUGAAACAACACUUUCUUUCCUGCACAGAAUAUCCUCACUCCUUGCUAGAUUUUGAUUCUCAAUUUUGGCCCUAUUUGCAUUUGUGAAUAUGUAAGAGUAUGUUUAUUUUGUGCAGAUAAUUUUUCUUUAUAUUAUUCCAACAUUGUUAAAUUUUUCUAGGCCUGAAUCCACAUUAGCAUUAGUCUACUUCAACAGAGCAAGUUUUUAGGAAAAAGUCCUUACCAAGGCAGACUCUGCAUUCUGACAACUAUGUUAAUAUGUGAGGACACUAAUCUGCUAAA
rnacentral:lncRNA from 1 species